AACGAACGCUGGCGGCAUGCCUAACACAUGCAAGUCGAACGAUCCCUUCGGGGAUAGUGGCGCACGGGUGGGUAACGCGUGGGAACCUGCCCUUAGGUUCGGAAUAACUCAGAGAAAUUUGAGCUAAUACCGGAUAAUGUCUUCGGACCAAAGAUUUAUCGCCUUUGGAUGGGCCCGCGUUGGAUUAGCUAGUUGGUGGGGUAAAGGCCUACCAAGGCGACGAUCCAUAGCUGGUCUGAGAGGAUGAUCAGCCACACUGGGACUGAGACACGGCCCAGACUCCUACGGGAGGCAGCAGUGGGGAAUAUUGGACAAUGGGCGAAAGCCUGAUCCAGCAAUGCCGCGUGAGUGAUGAAGGCCUUAGGGUUGUAAAGCUCUUUUACCCGGGAUGAUAAUGACAGUACCGGGAGAAUAAGCCCCGGCUAACUCCGUG
rnacentral:rRNA from 1 species